rnacentral:rRNA from 1 species
CGCUGACGAGUGGCGGACGGGUGAGUAAUGUCUGGGAAACUGCCUGAUGGAGGGGGAUAACUACUGGAAACGGUGGCUAAUACCGCAUAACGUCGCAAGACCAAAGAGGGGGACCUUCGGGCCUCUUGCCAUCAGAUGUGCCCAGAUGGGAUUAGCUUGUUGGUGAGGUAACGGCUCACCAAGGCGACGAUCCCUAGCUGGUCUGAGAGGAUGACCAGCCACACUGGAACUGAGACACGGUCCAGACUCCUACGGGAGGCAGCAGUGGGGAAUAUUGCACAAUGGGCGCAAGCCUGAUGCAGCCAUGCCGCGUGUAUGAAGAAGGCCUUCGGGUUGUAAAGUACUUUCAGCGGGGAGGAAGGUGUUGUGGUUAAUAACCGCAGCAAUUGACGUUACCCGCAGAAGAAGCACCGGCUAACUCCGUGCCAGCAGCCGCGGUAAUACGGAGGGUGCAAGCGUUAAUCGGAAUUACUGGGCGUAAAGCGCACGCAGGCGGUCUGUCAAGUCGGAUGUGAAAUCCCCGGGCUCAACCUGGGAACUGCAUUCGAAACUGGCAGGCUUGAGUCUUGUAGAGGGGGGUAGAAUUCCAGGUGUAGCGGUGAAAUGCGUAGAGAUCUGGAGGAAUACCGGUGGCGAAGGCGGCCCCCUGGACAAAGACUGACGCUCAGGUGCGAAAGCGUGGGGAGCAAACAGGAUUAGAUACCCUGGUAGUCCACGCCGUAAACGAUGUCUACUUGGAGGUUGUGCCCUUGAGGCGUGGCUUCCGGAGCUAACGCGUUAAGUAGACCGCCUGGGGAGUACGGCCGCAAGGUUAAAACUCAAAUGAAUUGACGGGGGCCCGCACAAGCGGUGGAGCAUGUGGUUUAAUUCGAUGCAACGCGAAGAACCUUACCUGGUCUUGACAUCCACAGAACUUUCCAGAGAUGGAUUGGUGCCUUCGGGAACUGUGAGACAGGUGCUGCAUGGCUGUCGUCAGCUCGUGUUGUGAAAUGUUGGGUUAAGUCCCGCAACGAGCGCAAC